GUACGUAGGGUGCGAGCGUUAAUCGGAAUUACUGGGCAUAAAGCGUGCGCAGGCGGUUUUGUAAGCCAGAUGUGAAAGCCCCGGGCUCAACCUGGGAAUGGCAUUUGGGACUGCAAGGCUUGAGUGCGGCAGAGGAGACUGGAAUUCCUGGUGUAGCAGUGAAAUGCGUAGAUAUCAGGAGGAACACCGAUGGCGAAGGCAGGUCUCUGGGACCACUACUGGACGCUGAAGAAGCGAAAGCAUGGGGAGCGAACAGG
rnacentral:rRNA from 1 species